ACGGAGGAUGCGAGCGUUAUCCGGAAUUACUGGGCGUAAAGGGUGCGUAGGCGGGGCUUUAAGUCGGAGGUGAAAUGCAACGGCUUAACCGUAGCAAAGCCUUUGAGACUGGGAGUCUAGAAUAUGGUAGAGGGAGAUGGAAUUUCUGGUGUAGCGGUGAAAUGCGUAGAUAUCACGAGGAACACCGAUGGCGAAGGCAGUCCCCUGGUCCAGUAUUGACGCUGAGGCACGAAAGCGUGGGGAGCAAACAG
rnacentral:rRNA from 1 species